rnacentral:lncRNA from 1 species
AUGGAUGGAUGUUAUCUGCUCCUAAGCCAAGCCCUAACCAUGGCUAAAAAAACCAGGCAGUUCUGCAGGCAGCAGAGAAUUUCAGAGAUCCGUGUGCAGGCACCAACAGUCAAAGAUCACCUCCAGAAAUAUUUUUUCAGCCUGAAGAGUAUGUUUCUUUACUUACUGGCCUCCAUGUUCUGCUCAUUUUCCUUUCAAGGAACUGUUGGUACCAUGAGGCCAUUUAAAACAAUAACUUUGAUUGGGAAAGCAACACCUUAAUUAUAUUUUUUGUCAGUGGCCUGGUUCUCAUGGAGAUGCUUGAAACGGUUUGGGUAACAAGUUUCUCUCUUUUUACAGCUGUCAUGUUGCAAACAACUGCAUUCAUUUCAGAACUGCAAAUAGUUGGUUUUGUCAAUACUGUCAAUGUGGUAUUUUCAAAUUACCAGGUUCUAAGUUUACUGACACAUAUCAAGUUCAAGAAGUGCUUGAAUUUAUGUUAAUUGAUUUCCACAUACUUCAGUUAAACAUUUUCUAACAGCAUGAGCCAGACAGAGAUAAAUUGGAUACAUUGCAAUUAACAUAGGUGCAUUUUCUAUAGGCUAUUUUUCUAAUAUAACAGCAGUUUAAGAGUUUGAAGUGUCAUUAUCAAAUGUGUAGUUUAACUCACACAUUUUACAAAUGCACAAACUAGACCAAAUCAAGUUUCAAGCUAAGAUAUUUUAUUCUGUAAACAAUGCAAUAUCUAUCUAAAAGCACUAUUGUACAAUUGUUUGUGUAAAUAAAACUGUCUUUGAACUUGAUGUGUUUUAAAGGUGGCCAUACAUUUUUGUAUUCUGAUUUGCUUUUCUGGCAUAUAGAACCUUUGAAUCUUUAGAAUUAAAUAUAAUGAAAAAAGAAAAGUUAUGAAAGGUAUGACUGUAUUUUUAUCAAAAAUUUUUAUUGGCCGGGCGCGGUGGCUCAAGCCUGUAAUCCCAGCACUUUGGGAGGCCGAGACGGGCGGAUCACGAGGUCAGGAGAUCGAGACCAUCCUGGCUAACACGGUGAAACCCCGUCUCUACUAAAAAAUACAAAAAACUAGCCGGGCGCGGUGGCGGGCGCCUGUAGUCCCAGCUACUCGGGAGGCUGAGGCCGGAGAAUGGCGUGAACCCGGGAGGCGGAGCUUGCAGUGAGCUGAGGUCCGGCCACUGCACUCCAGCCUGGGUGACAGAGCGAGACUCCGUCUCAAAAAAAAAAAAAAAAAAAUUUAUUGUACUGAUAAAAGAUGAAAAAGAAGAUUAAAAACUGAUUUAAAAAUUAAUCCUUAAAUCUCCUCUCCAAGUGAUUUCAGUUUCCAAUUAAUAAGACAAGAUUUUAAGACUUCAUAUUACAUACAAUGAGAUUUGUGUUAUCGUCAUGGUUGUUGCAGCAAAUAACCAGGGUUUAGUUUAUUUUAAAAAUAAAAAUAAUCCUUGAAUCUCAUUUUAGUAGAAGAUUUGAUGGGUAGGAAAGAGAAGUCACUAAUCUGCGUAUUACCUACAUGUAGUCAUACUGGCUCUCCCUUGGAGACAAUAUUUAGAUAAAAGAUAGAAAAAAAAGUGAAUAGUCAAAAAUAAAAGACUGUUUGCUAAGUCAGGAAUAAAAUUCUUGGGAACACUGAUAUUUUGGCAAGUUCACCACCUCACUUAAUUAUUUCUCAAAUAACCUUGUGCUGGAUGCCAAAUUGGACCUUUCUAAAAACUGUUUGAGGAAAAUUUAAAUUCAAGUUUAAAACAUGCAGGAAAUAAAAAUGUCAGCACAGCAUUUCUUUUAGAUGUUAUUCAUCAGGACCUUUCUCCUUCCAGAUAGUAACAAAAAUUAUUAACCUUUAUAAUAAAUUAUUAUCACAAAUAAAUAUUCUGCCACUUUAUUUGGGGGGAAUUUAUUGAUCAUUUUCCUCCAGAAUUAACACUGUACUAAGGCAAAGAGGUACACAAUCAGAAAAGAGUUUGUGAUAAAAUUUUCUUUCAGUAAGUUUAAAAUAUGCAUAUGUAGGCAAGAUUCAAGCCUUUCGAGAUUGACUAGCUACCAGUAAUUUUCUAAGUAAAUACAAAGCUGAAAGUAGGGAAUGAGCAAAAGUUUAGUACCAGGUAGAUCUUUGUUUUAUUAUUGAAUCUUUCACAGGUUAGUUGUAUAAUUACCCACAACUAACUCAAACACUGAAUCUUGGUAUUCUUAUCUGUAAAUUAGGGAUAGUGGUAUCCCAUAUAAAAUAAUGUGUAAUAUUUGUUGGUUAUUGAAUAUUCAACUCAAUUAACACAAUAAGAUAAAGUAUUAUUGCAUAAAUGAGAUGUACAAAAAAAUUUUAAAAUGUGAGAAAGCAGUAAAAGUCAUCUUGUGCUAUAAUGCUGUUAUAACCACACAUAAAACCAGGGGCAGUUGUGGGGAAUUGUAACAAACACUUAUGAGGCAUUAGAUACUGUUAUUAUCCCCAUUCCCCAUUUUACAGAUAAGGGAGUUGAGUCACAGAGAGCUUAAUGAUCUGCCUUAAGUUGAGUAGCUAAGAAGUAGAUAGGUUAGAUUGUGCCCAGACACAAAGACAGAGUUUAAAUGCUUCACCCCACUGUCAUACUGCCUUCUUUCUUUCACAUUUGGUAAGUUGCAAACAAAAACAAGCAUUUUAUUCUAAAUGGUGUAUAACACAAUUAGUAAAACUAGAAUUAUAUUUUCAAAACUACUGAGGCAUUCUGAAAGGUGAAAAAAAGCAAUCCCACAUAAGAUAUAGGAAAAUGAAACAAAGAAAAUGGCAAAAACAAACAAACAAACAAACAAAACUUUAAAAAGAGGAAACACAAAAUAAGAGGACUAUAUUAGUGCAAAACAUGUUGCAUUUAUUAUUUCAUAAAUGCAAACAGUAUGAGUUCAUCUAUGAAAAUGAAAAAAACCACUAUAGAACUGAUUAGAAGAAAAAGCUCUACCAUAUGCUCUCUAUGACUGGAGCUCUUUGCUGGAAAUGACUCAGGCAGUUUAAAAGUAAAAGAUUAACAAUUUCAUGAGUUAAAUGCAAGCAAAAGGAAAAUAAUAAUGAGUUUAUUCCAGACAACUCUUCAGUUCUUGACACAUAAAACCAGAAACCUUGAUGAUUAUCAUCAACUUUGAAGAUUGUUUAUUUUUAUUAAUCUAGUUUUUAUCUCCAUAGCAGGGCCAACCAGCUUUUCUCUUCCAUUUUUCUCAUAUUGUGUUGUCACUGACAUCAAGCCAGUUCCUCAGGCAGAAAUCUAAGGGCCAAUUACUCCAACAUCUCCUUCACAGAUUGCGAAUUGGUGACCAGGUUCCAUAACUAAGUAUCUCUUAAAUUAAUUGUCUUCACUACAUAUUCACUCUACUAUCAUCUUUCAUUCUCUUACAAGAAUAAUGCAACACUUUUUAAAAAAUUAGCCUUUUUAGUCCUGUCUUGCUUCAGCCACAGCCAUCCCCCACUCAAUACCUUUAUGUCUUAAUUCAACAACACAACAAAAACAAAUAAAUCUCAGUUAAGUGCAUAUUGCGUGUCAGGCAUUGUACUGGAGCUAUGAUGAUGAAUAAAUUCUAUGCAGUCUCUGUCCUCAGAGAAGUUUUAGGCUGCUAGGUAGAAUACACACAUGUAUACUACCACUACCACA